rnacentral:ncRNA from 1 species
UCAGUGACGGUAAUUCCAACAGCGACUCGUCGGUACCGAGCCAGUACGACCAGCACUUCACGCCAUUCAUGUCGCAAUUGACGGACCUUAGCAUUCCGCCGCAGCAGCAUCGCACGAUGUCGGCUUAUUCACAUCCUCAUUAUUCACAUCAAGCCGAUUACAACCAUCAAUUGGUAUUCAAUAAUGGGCCUAAACUCAAUUUUAAUCCUAAUCUUUCGCCUCUUUUGGAUCCGAUGCUUACAGGUAAAAUCAUAAGGAGUUUCUCACUGAGUUACGCUGACAAUGAGCGGCGGCGGCAGUCGACCGAGAAUUCGUCGGAGUUCCUGCCGGAAUACGGCAAGAACAUGUACGUAACGUCACCGCAUUUCAUGUUUUCGCCUAAAGGUUGCAACGAGGACGAGAUUAACGCGCUCGGCUCUGUUCAGUCGGUCCACGGCCAGGCUUCCUAUCACCCUACGGACAGGAAUGUGGUGGAGUACAAGACCGAUCAGCAACAACAAGUGGUUGAUCAUCAUCCUCUUCGGAGAUACAAUGAGCAGAUGCAGGUGAAAUCGUUUGACCAGAGUGUCCAAACGGAAUUACUCUCAUCAUCUUCAUCGUCAACAUCAACGAGAAGUUACAGUGUCACGAACGACAUCAAGUCCGUCACAAAAAGACAGAAAUUAAACGACAGUAGCAGUAACAACAAUAAUGACAAUAACAGUAAAAACAACACGAACGACGACGACGACGAGGUCGACAGUGAGGCGAGUGCGACGAAGAGGAGACCACGAAGGAAAAAUAGUGCGACUGAUGCGGACAUCCAGAGACCUAGAACGAUGGCGACCGUGCGGGAACGACAGCGGAUGCAGAGCUUCAACGAAGCAUUCUCCGCCCUGAGGAAGAUCAUACCAACCCUGCCAAGCGACAAACUUAGCAAGAUCCAGACGCUGAAGCUAGCUGUCAGGUACAUCGACUUUCUCUAUCAUUUGCUGAAGACGAAUGUAGACGGCGGUGACAGCGACGAAGAGACUAGUAAGUUUUUUGAGUUUUUGUAAUGUUUUCCUAAAGUUUUUGAGUCUUGUAACGUGGAUCUGCGCAGAGUAAUCUAUACAAAUGCAUAUCGAUAUCUCAAAGAAGGGAGAGAGAAAAGAGAGGAGGACGAACCGAUAGGAUAAAGUCUAUAGGGAUCAAGAUUUAAUGAUUAAUGCUGAAACAAUAUGCUUUAAAUAACAGAUUUUUACCCGUACGAUCAGAGUUUCAAUUGAUGUAGUGCCAAUCUCAUUACUUCUCACACAUAUUAUGUAGAUAUUAACUUAUCUAGAUUUUCACACUUCUUGUGUGGAUUUUAAAUAACAUUACAAGUGCAGGAAUAGUCUUGCUCUUUUGUCGUGUUGGGCAAUCCUUUAUGAUUUAGAUGACCAACUCGUGGCGAUACUGGAAGGAUGUUGGAAACUUAUACCGAAUGUGUAUCGCUUGGAGCGACGCUUGAAGAUCAUUUCCGUUGGCACCUUCUUUCCCUCAGGAUAGCUGUCACUCGGCCGUUCCGCAACGGAACGCGCGCGAGUCUCAUCUGGUAAAGCGAAUGAUUAGAGGCCUUGGGGCCGAAACGACCUCAACCUAUUCUCAAACUUUAAAUGGGUGAGAUCUCUGGCUUUCUUGAAUUAUGAAGCCACGAGCAUCUCGGAUCAGAGUGCCAAGUGGGCCAUUUUUGGUAAGCAGAACUGGCGCUGUGGGAUGAACCAAACGCAGAGUUAAGGCGCCCAACUCGACGCUCAUGGGACACCAUGAAAGGCGUUGGUUGCUUAAGACAGCAGGACGGUGGCCAUGGAAGUCGGAAUCCGCUAAGGAGUGUGUAACAACUCACCUGCCGAAGCAACUAGCCCUGAAAAUGGAUGGCGCUGAAGCGUCGAGCCUAUACUCUGCCGUCAGCGGCAAGUGGGGCGGCCGCACCCCCCUCGCGGGGGCCGCGGUCGUCACGAGGCCCUGACGAGUAGGAGGGUCGCGGCGGUGUGCGCAGAAGGGUCUGGGCGUGAACCUUCCUGGAGCCGCCGUCGGUGCAGAUCUUGGUGGUAGUAGCAAAUACUCCAGCGAGGCCCUGGAGGACUGACGUGGAGAAGGGUUUCGUGUGAACAGCCGUUGCACACGAGUCAGUCGAUCCUAAGCCCUAUGAGAAAUCGCAUUUCGAUGACGGCGGGAUAUACCCGAGUGCUGUUCACUCCCCGCCCUCUCUCUCUCUCUCCGGAGAGCAGCGGGGGCCGGCGGCAGUGCGCGGUGACACUUGUGGUGGCUGCGCGCGCGAACUCUCGGUGGUUCAAUCAGAGAGACGACGACUCGCGGACACGCGCAAGCCCGAGCCGCGCAGCCGACGGUGUUGUGCGCGAAACAAGGCACACGCCCGUCGGGCGAAAGGGAGUCCGGUUCCUAUUCCGGAACCCGGCAGCGGAACCGCAUACAAUUCGGGCCCUCGUAAGAGUGUUCGUCGGGGUAACCCAAAAUGACCUGGAGACGCCGUCGGGAGAUCCGGGAAGAGUUUUCUUUUCUGUAUAAGCGUUCGAGUUCCCUGGAAACCUCUAGCAGGGAGAUAGGGUUUGGAACGCGAAGAGCACCGCAGUUGCGGCGGUGUCCGGAUCUUCCCCUCGGACCUUGAAAAUCCAGGAGAGGGCCACGUGGAGGCGUCGCGCCGGUUCGUACCCAUAUCCGCAGCAGGUCUCCAAGGUAAAGAGCCUCUAGUCGAUAGAUUAAUGUAGGUAAGGGAAGUCGGCAAAUUGGAUCCGUAACUUCGGAAUAAGGAUUGGCUCUGAGGAACGGGGCGUGUCGGGCUUGGUCGGGAAGCGGGUCUGGCUGACGUGCCGAACCUGGGCGAGGUGAACGGUCGGCGUUCUCGCGCCGUUGCCGGGAUCCGAGCUCGAUUCCGUGCCUUGGCCUCCCGCGGAUCUUCCUUGCUGCGAGACUUCCGUGGCGGCGCGAGCCGUCGUGGUCGUCCUCUUCGGCCGCCAUUCAACGCUCAGCUCAAAACUGGUACGGACUAGGGGAAUCCGACUGUCUAAUUAAAGCAAAGCAUUGCGAUGGCCCUCGCGGGUGUUGACGCAAUGUGAUUUCUGCCCAGUGCUCUGAAUGUCAACGUGAAGAAAUUCAAGCAAGCGCGGAUAAACGGCGGAAGUAACUAUGACUUUCUUGGCAGAGCCAGAGUGUAUCUAUCACGGACCGGGCGCAUCUCUGGACGGGUACCUCCACGCGGUCUUUCCCGGUAACGGAUGGUGUCGGGAGGCACUGUUCGGCUAACACCCGUUUCCUCAAAGCUAGAGGACUCUGGUCUUGACUAAUUUUUCCUGCCCACGGCAAGAGUUCCCUGGUGGGUCAGUCAGACGGGUUUUACGCCGUGCUGGCACGGCCGGAUCGGAAGUCUUGAUAGUACGAAUACGAGCAAGGAAAACUGAAGGGAACAUCGCGUUAAUUCUCGUUAUAUGUUGGGAGAUCCGUGCAAACAGAGAGUACCACCAGCCAACUUGCCAGGUACUCUACGAGCCGGACUCCGUUGUUGCUGGUGACCAUGCCGGGCCGAAAUAUGGAAAGUCCGCGGAGAGCAAACCGCGCAGAGAAUAGCCAAACGCCUCGUCAUCUGAGUAGUGACGCAUUAACAGCAGAACUGACUACCAGGGCAAAGCGGCCUAUAAAGGCGGGUUUGCUUCCGU